UGAAGCUUUCGAACAGAAUAAUGAAAUACAUAUCCAAUCUAAAAUUCGUAUGGCGUGAUCUAACAACGACACACGGAUUCGAUCGUCCCGCCAUAUACACAUAUUACUUUCUAACCUCUUGUAUUCUUUUUUACGAAGGUAAAAGUCCCCUCUCCUUCGACGCGGAUUAUUAACUGCACGCUUCGCAGGUGGAUUAACGGAAACGGAAUUGCAAGGAAUAAUACGAAUACGCUGUGAAUUCCUUUCUUUAUUUCGGUUAGGAACGAAAUGAGCUAGGUUUUCUUGAUUCCAAUGGGAAAUUCAACGGGACGACACGCAAAGAGGCUAAGAGGAUUGUUUCUAUAUUCCUCUUCGAAGGGUCUCGCGGAUUUUGGUUUAAGCUGAGACAUAGAAGAAGAAGAAGAAGAAGAAAAAGAAGAAGAAGAAGAAGAGGAAGAAGAGAAGAGGGUUGUCCAAUCGUGUCCCUAGUCCUGAUUUAGGAAGGGAUUUUAAUUACCGAGGGUCAGUAAGUGUGGCUGUCCACUUGGUACAAGUAUUCCAACCCUUAUUUAUAGUUCAUUAGCAUGGACUUUAUCCGACGGCAGAUUAACUUAUGGCUUUAUAUCAUUAUCAAUUACGUAAAAUAAAAAAUGAAAAGGAAGAUCAAUAACGAUCUAUCUAAGAAUUGUCUGAUCUACGAAAUUAUCUUUAUCGAAAGGGUUUACGAAAGUGAUUUUAAACUUUCGUUUAAAUUUCAUGUUCGCGAUCGAAGAUACAUUUACAUCGGAUGAGUUUACAAAAAUGGAUCUCUUUUGUAAGCACGCUAAAUGUGAUAUAUAAGUUUGGUUGUGUCUACACAGUAUAUACUUAUAGAAUGUUCUAAAAAGUUUCUAAAAUACUUUUCAAGUGAAACUGAUCAUACUGAAUUAAAGAUGGCUAAAAAAUAAAUCCGACUGGAUCGAAAAUAAUUUUCUAUUUCGAUAGUAUUGGGUAUGGUCAAAAUUCGGGUAAUCCUAGGAAAGCAAAGUCGGCCGCAAAUAGGACCUCGUAUACUUGCGAGGGGUUAAUUACAUUCUUGCGAGUCCGCACGAACGAGUGAAACCGCAUCUGCUUCCUCGAUUGCACUUUAGCAAACCACAGUGCAAUAAACGGUAGCGCUGCGGGACCCCAACUCAGAGACCUUUAAAGCGCCCAGAAACGUUUUCGCACGUAUGCAGAAACUCUUUGACCGUUCUUUGCCGUGGGAUCACCGAAUUUCUUUUUCCAUAAAUUUUACGGAAGAAGUAAUCUUCUCUAAAUAAAGAUUCGAUAUUUACAUAAUGAAGAAAAACAGUUUUGCUAUACAAUCUUAAUAUAUUUU